rnacentral:rRNA from 1 species
CCUACGGGAGGCAGCAGUGGGGAAUAUUGGACAAUGGGGGGAACCCUGAUCCAGCGACGCCGCGUGAGUGAAGAAGUAUUUCGGUAUGUAAAGCUCUAUCAGCAGGGAAGAAAAUGACGGUACCUGACUAAGAAGCCCCGGCUAACUACGUGCCAGCAGCCGGGGGAAUAAGGAGGGGGCAGGCGUUAUCCGGAUUUACUGGGUGUAAAGGGAGCGUAGACGGUGCAGCAAGUCUGGUGUGAAAGGUCGGGGCCCAACCCCGGGACAGCAUUGGAAACUGGUGAACUGGAGUACAGGAGAGGUAGGCGGAAGUCGUAGUGUAGCGGUGAAAUGCGUAGAUAUUGGGAAGAACCCCGGUGGCGAAGGCAGCUUACUGGACUGUAACUGACGUUGAGGCUCGAAAGCGUGGGGAGCGAACAGGAUUAGAUACCCGGGUAGUC